GAUGAACGCUGGCGGCGUGCCUAAUACAUGCAAGUCGAGCGAACCAAUGGGAGCUUGCCCUCUGUGGUUAGCGGCGGACGGGUGAGUAACACGCGGGUAACACGCAUGUAAGAUUGGGAUAACUCUGGGAAACAGGAGAUAUUACAGGAUAAUAUUUUGAACCGCAUGGUUCAAAAUUGAAAGACGCGUUCGGCCGUUAACUACAGAUGGACCCGCGGCGCAUUAGCUAGUUGGUGAGGUAACGGCUCACCAAGGCGACGAUGCGUAGCCGACCUGAGAGGGUGAUCGGCCACACUGGAACUGAGACACGGCCCAGACUCCUACGGGAGGCAGCAGUAGGGAAUCUUCCGCAAUGGACGAAAGUCUGACGGAGCAACGCCGCGUGAACGAUGAAGGCCUUCGGGUCGUAAAGUUCUGUUGUUAGGGAAGAACAAAUACCAAAGUAACUGCUGAUACCUUGACGGUACCUAACCAGAAAGCCACGGCUAACUACGUG
rnacentral:rRNA from 1 species